rnacentral:rRNA from 1 species
GAUGAACGCUGGCGGCGUGCCUAAUACAUGCAAGUCGAGCGAACAGACGAGGAGCUUGCUCCUCUGACGUUAGCGGAGGACGGGUGAGUAACAUGUGGAUAACCUACCUAUAAGACUGGGAUAACUUCGGGAAACCGGCGCUAAUACCGGAUAAUAUAUUGAACCGCAUGGUUCAAUAGUGAAAGACGGUUUUGCUGUUACUAAUAGAUGGUUCCGCGCCGCAUUAGCUAGUUGGUAAGGUAACGGCUUACCAAGGCAACGAUGCGUAGCCGACCUGAGGGGGUGAUCGGCCACACUGGAACUGAGACACGGUCCAGACUCCUACGGGAGGCACCAGUAGGGAAUCUUCCGCAAUGGGGGAAAGCCUGACGGAGCAACGCGGCGUGAGUGAUGAAGGUCUUCGGAUCGUAAAACUCGGUUAUUAGGGAAGAACAAAUGUGUAAGUAACUAUGCACGUCUUGACGGUACCUAAUCAGAAAGCCACGGCUAACUACGUG